AAAAAGAUAAGCUAAUUAAGCUAAUAGGUUCAUACCCUAUUUAUGAAGGUCCGCAGCCCCUCUCUUUUUA
rnacentral:tRNA from 1 species